CUCUCCAUAUCCUCUGUAGUCUGUAACAUAUUGUCCUCUUUUUUUUCCUUCUCAAAACCACCAACUUCUCUCUACUGACUACUGUAGCACUGUGAAACCACCACUACUGACGGCCACCCUUAAUCACAAUUGCACUGCCACAACUCGCAACAGCUAUCUCCCUUGCAUAUCGCCACUCACAAAAUCGAUGGUUUGGAGUUUUAUGACGUUUGCCGACAUUAUUGCCAUAUUGGGUUUAGGCCCUUUAUCCUUGAUAAGUCUACUCAAGCUAUUAUGAUUCAAGAAUAUUGGGAGAGGUUCACAUUUCUGAUCAUAAGAUUUAUGAAGAUGCUCCAAGGAUACCCUCCGGUGGUGAAGGUACAAAUCAGUACCCGGUUGCUAAUUCUGAAGGUGGGCAUCCUCAGAUUCUCGGAUGGGUAGUUGGUUGGCCUCCUGUCCUCGUAUACUGAAACUGGAAGUUAUCAAGAACCUUGUUGCUGCUUUGGAUAACCCAUUGCUUAGAAUUAACUCAGCAAGGAUUUUAACAAAUUUAUGCAUUUAUAGUAGCCCAGAGUGCUUUCAACAACUAAUAUAACCGUUAUUGUGCCUACUGAGUAAACCCUCAUUAUGAAGUAAACAUGAUUUAGGAGGUUUUCUGUAGUUUGAUGCAUUUUUAUUGAUGAGUUUGACCAACUUGAUCCAUUCCCUUUUUACUAGGAAAUUUUGUAAACCUGUUGAGAUAAUGUAUGACCAAAAUUGACCUAUGUACCUAUACAUGGAUCAAGAUUCUAUAUUACUAUUACCCAACUUGUUUG